rnacentral:rRNA from 1 species
UACGUAGGUGGCAAGCGUUGUCCGGAUUUAUUGGGUUUAAAGGGUGCGUAGGCGGUUCAUUAAGUCAGUGGUGAAAUACGGCAGCUUAACUGUCGAGGUGCCAUUGAUACUGGUGAACUUGAGUACUGAUGAGGUAGGCGGAAUGGACGGUGUAGCGGUGAAAUGCUUAGAGAUCGUCCAGAACACCGAUAGCGGAGGCAGCUUACUAAGGAGUAACUGACGCUGAGGCACGAAAGUGUGGGGAUCAAACAGG